rnacentral:lncRNA from 1 species
GAAAUUUGGGAUCUUACACCAAUCAGCGCACGCGACACCUGGGUUUACCAAUCUCCCCCUCCUAGCCCAUCAUCCUGCAGCACCAUUGUAAUUAUCCGCUCUCAUUCUGUUAUAGUCACAGGAUUCUCACUGGUCAUUACGUAUGUCUCUUCUCACCACAUGUUUGGAAGUUCCUAAGCGGGGCGCCAGCGUAGUGGUGCGGCCACGGAAAGCCAUCGGCGUGAGCACGUGUGAAGUUAGCAUCAAAGCCUUCCAGACGAUUGAAUUCGUGAGGGACGACAUCGGUGAUCUGGGCGCCUCAAAGCCUGGGCCCACUGGGGUGCGGCAGCGACGAGAAAGCAAUCUCAGCAAUUCAAGUUUUGGCUGCAACGACGGCUUUGAGACGCUUGUUUUCUUACAGGACGAGAUCCGUGAGUUGAUAAUAAAGGGCGGCCAUGGGACAGACGGCCAGCAGAAUUCAAGGACCUACUCGCUCAGCAACGAACAAUUGCGGGUUGCAGGGCAACUGAGCGAUGCGUGCUUACCUAUCUAUGAGCCCACUACAGACUCCAUACUGUUCGUGGAGAAGGGGACGGCCAUUAAGCGCCUCGACAGUGACAACGUGAUCU